rnacentral:lncRNA from 1 species
GGAUGUGAGUGAAAAUAUUAACGAGUAAAUUAUGAAUGCCAUAGGGUCUAAAAGACUUAGAGAUAGGAUUAGCCAAAAGUAUCUAUGGCAUCUUAGACUAGGCCAUAUUGGAGAGGAUAGACUCAACAAAGUAGAGAAAGAUGGUCUUCUUGGACCAUUGACUUUUGAAUCUUAUCCAGUUUGUGAAUCAUAUCUUUAAGAAAAAAUAACCAAGCUAUCCUUUAUGGGACA